GACGAACGCUGGCGGCGUGCUUAACACAUGCAAGUCGAAUGGUAAGGCCCUUCGGGGUACACGAGUGGCGAACGGGUGAGUAACACGUGGGUGAUCUGCCCUGCACUUCGGGAUAAGCCUGGGAAACUGGGUCUAAUACCGGAUAGGACCACUGCCUGCAUGGGUGGUGGUGGAAAGCUUUUGCGGUGUGGGAUGGGCCCGCGGCCUAUCAGCUUGUUGGUGGGGUGAUGGCCUACCAAGUCGACGACGGGUAGCCGGCCUGAGAGGGUGACCGGCCACACGGGGCAUGAGCUACAGCCAAGACUUCUACGGGCGGCAGCAGUGGGGAAUAUUGCACAAUGGGCGCAAGCCUGAUGCAGCGACGCCGCGUGAGGGAUGACGGCCUUCGGGGUGUAAACCUCUUUCAGCAGCGACGAAGCGCAGGUGACGGUAGGUGCAGAAGAAGGACCGGCCAACUACGUGCCAGCAGCCGCGGUAA
rnacentral:rRNA from 1 species